rnacentral:rRNA from 1 species
GAUGAACGCUAGCGGCAGGCCUAACACAUGCAAGUCGAGGGGCAGCACAGGUAGCAAUACUGGGUGGCGACCGGCGGAUGGGUGCGUAACGCGUAUGCAACCUACCAUUGAUUGGGGCAUAGCCCGAAGAAAUUCGGAUUAAUACUCCAUAAUAUUCAUCAAAGGCAUCUUUUAUGAAUUAAAGCUUUUGCGAUCAAUGAUGGGCAUGCGUGACAUUAGUUAGUUGGUGAGGUAACGGCUCACCAAAACGAUGAUGUCUAGGGGUUCUGAGAGGAUUAUCCCCCACACUGGUACUGAGACACGGACCAGACUCCUACGGGAGGCAGCAGUGAGGAAUAUUGGUCAAUGGGCGCAAGCCUGAACCAGCCAUCCCGCGUGAAGGAAGAAGGCGCUAUGCGUUGUAAACUUCUUUUCCAGGGGUAAUAAAAUUUUGUACGUGUACGGAAUUGAAGGUACCCUGGGAAUAAGCAUCGGCUAACUCCGUGCCAGC